rnacentral:rRNA from 1 species
AAAAAGAUGAGUUUGAUCCUGGCUCAGAAUGAACGCUAGCGAUAUGCUUAACACAUGCAAGUUGAACGUUGUUUGCUUUUUUUUUUGAAAGCAAGGCAGACAAAGUAGCGAACGGGUGCGUAAUACGUGGGAAUCUGCCAAACAGUUAAGGAUAAAUCCUUUCUAAUUUUUUAAAGCUUUAAGACAGCGCUGUUUGAUGAGCCCGCGGAGUAUUAUGGUAGUUGGAGAGGUAAAAGCUCACCAAGCCGAUGAUGCUUAGCUGGUCUUUUUGGAUGAUCAGCCACACUGGGACUGAGACACGGCCCAGACUCCAUAUUAGGAGGCAGCAGUGGGGAAUUUUGGACAAUGAGCGAAAGCUUGAUCCAGCAAUAUCGCGUGAGUGAUGAAGGGCAAUAUCGCUCGUAAAACUCUGUCAUUGAGUUGAAAUAGAUAAUGACAUAACUCAAAAAGGAAGCCCCAGCUAACUACGUGCCAGCAGCUGCGGUAAAACGUGGGGGGCUAGUGUUAUUCGGAAUGACUAGGCGUAAAGUGCAUGUAGGCUGUAAAUAAAAAGGGGAAAAGUGAAAGUCAUCAGCUUAACUGAUGAAAAUCUUGCAACCCUAUUUACUUGAGUAAGAUAGAGGGAAAUGGAAUUUCGUGUGUAGAGGUCAAAUUCAUAGAUAUACGAAGGAACGUCAAAGGCGAAGGCAAUUUCCUGGGUCUUUACUGACGCUGAGAUGCGAAAGCAUGGGGAGCAAACAGGAUUAGAUACCCUGGUAGUCCAUGCCGUAAACGAUGAGUGUUCGUUCUUGGUUUUAAGUCCACUUAAAAAUAUAGUGGACUAAUCAGGGACUUAGCUAACGCGUUAAACACUCCGCCUGGGGAGUACGGUCGCAAGGCUGAAACUCAAAGGAAUAGACGGGGGCCUGCACAAGCGGUGGAGCAUGUGGUUUAAUUCGAUACAACGCGCAAAACCUUACCAGUUCUUGACAUAUGAAUUAAUUUUCUUUUUUUAUAAAAGAGAAAAAUUAAACAAUAAGAAAAUUCAUACAGGUGCUGCAUGGCUGUCGUCAGCUCGUGUCGUGAGAUGUUGGGUUAAGUCCUAUAACGAGCGCAACCCUCGUUUUGUGUUGCUACGAAAUUUUUUUGAUUCGGAGCACUCACAAAAAACUGCCGGUGAUAUACUGGAGGAAGGUGAGGAUGACGUCAAGUCCGCAUGGCCCUUAUGAGCUGGGCUACACACGUGCUACAAUGGCAAUUACAAUAGGAAGCAAGGCUGAAAAGCGGAGCGAAUCCUGAAAAGUUGCCUCAGUUCGGAUUGUUCUCUGCAACUCGAGAACAUGAAGUUGGAAUCGCUAGUAAUCGCGGAUCAGCAUGCCGCGGUGAAUAUGUACCCGGGCCUUGUAUUUACCGCCCGUCACGCCCUGGGAAUGAACUUCGCUCGAAGCUUUCUAUAAUUUAUUAUGUAAUUCUGAUUUUUCUAUAGCAUUUUAAUAUUAUGUAAAAUGCAACAAGAUUUUCAUAAUAAAUUCAGAAAUCCACAGUGGGGUUCGUAACUGAGGCGAAGUCGUAACAAGGUAGCCGUAGGGGAACCUGCGGCUGGAUUGACUCUUUU